UACGUAGGGGGCAAGCGUUAUCCGGAUUUACUGGGUGUAAAGGGGGCGCAGACGGCGUUGCAAGCCAGGAGUGAAAGCCCGGGGCCCAACCCCGGGACUGCUCUUGGAACUGCGUGGCUGGAGUGCAGGAGGGGCAGGCGGAAUUCCUGGUGUAGCGGUGAAAUGCGUAGAUAUCAGGAGGAACACCGGUGGCGAAGGCGGCCUGCUGGACUGCAACUGACGUUGAGGCCCGAAAGCGUGGGGAGCAAACAGG
rnacentral:rRNA from 1 species